rnacentral:rRNA from 1 species
AUGGCGGCCGCUGCGGGGUCGUACGGCAAGCUCCACAAGUCAUUCAAGCUUGCCGCUCGCUCCAUACUCACCGCCUUCUCCCGCGAGGAUCUUAACAAUGCUUUCCCAUCAUUCACUGAUGCUGAAAGGGAGCGCCUGUACCAAAUGUUCAUCUAUGUGAUCAAGUCUUUGCAUGGCAACAUUGUGGAGGAGUUCCGAAAUGUGUGCGACGAAAUAGAAAUUGCUACUGCCCUUGACAAGGUAGAUCAGUUUGUUGAAGAACAAACUCUGGAUGUUUUAUCUUCAGACAAGACUAGCAUUGAAGACAUCAAAGAAAGGAUAUCAAAGGAGAAGAAGGAUGAAAUUGAACGUUUAAAAGGUUUACUAGAGAAGACUCAAGAAAGGAACAAUGCCAUGAAGGCCCGAAUCGAACCCUUGAAGCAAGGGGAGGAUUUCAAUGACACAAGAGAUGUUCUCACGAAGCUGAAGCAAUGGAAUUCUGCGUGUCAGAGCUACGAUGACCAUUGA